UUUAUGGAGAGUUUGAUCCUGGCUCAGGAUGAACGCUGGCGGCGUGCCUAAUACAUGCAAGUCGAGCGAACGGACGAGAAGCUUGCUUCUCUGAUGUUAGCGGCGGACGGGUGAGUAACACGUGGAUAACCUACCUAUAAGACUGGGAUAACUUCGGGAAAUCGCAGCUAAUACCGGAUAAUAUUUUGAA
rnacentral:rRNA from 1 species